GAUGAACGCUGGCGGCGUGCCUAAUACAUGCAAGUCGAGCGAACGGACGAGAAGCUUGCUUCUCUGAUGUUAGCGGCGGACGGGUGAGUAACACGUGGAUAACCUACCUAUAAGACUGGGAUAACUUCGGGAAACCGGAGCUAAUACCGGAUAAUAUUUUGAACCGCAUGGUUCAAAAGUGAAAGACGGUCUUGCUGUCACUUAUAGAUGGAUCCGCGCUGCAUUAGCUAGUUGGUAAGGUAACGGCUUACCAAGGCAACGAUGCAUAUCCGACCUGAGAGGGUGAACAGCCAAAAUGGAAAUGAGAAACGGGGCAGACACCGACGGGAGGAAGCAGGGGGGAAUAUUGGAGAAAGGGGGCAAGCCUGAAAGAGCCAAACCGGGGGGGUGAAGAAGGCCUUCGGGUUGGAAAACACUUUUGGUGGGGAAGAAAAGAAGCAGGUGAAAACCGGGAUGAUCUGACGGUACCCAAAGAAGAAGCACCGGCUAAAUUAGUG
rnacentral:rRNA from 1 species